rnacentral:lncRNA from 1 species
UUGUAACAUAGUGAUUUAUAUAAACAAGGAGAAACGAGUGAUUGAUUUAAACACAUAAUAGCAAAUACGUACCAAAGAUAAUUGGGCAAUAAUAUUAAACAAGAGAACAUAUUCAUUGAGGUAUUUCGUCGAACACCUUAAAGACUAUCUUAACAAAGACUAAACCUUUAGAAAAUUCACCAUAGAUCAAAAGUACACAUUAACGAACUAGACAAAGCUAGAUAAGUCUUCAAGCUCUUUCACCACGGAUUCUCCUAGCGAGCUGGAUAUCCUUGGGCAUGAUCGUCACUCUUUUGGCGUGAAUCGCGCAGAGAUUGGUGUCUUCGAACAAACCAACAAGGUAAGCCUCAGCAGCCUCUUGCAAAGCCGCGACGGCGCUGCUCUGGAACCUCAGAUCCGUCUUGAAGUCCUGAGCGAUCUCACGGACCAGACGCUGGAAGGGAAGCUUGCGGAUGAGAAGCUCGGUGCUCUUCUGGUACUUCCUGAUCUCACGAAGGGCGACGGUUCCGGGACGGAAUCUGUGCGGCUUCUUCACUCCUCCCGUGGCCGGAGCCGACUUCCUCGCCGCUUUCGUCGCCAGCUGCUUCCUCGGAGCCUUUCCUCCGGUGGAUUUUCUAGCGGUUUGCUUGGUACGAGCCAUUUGGGUUUAUUACUCUUUUUGCUGUUUGGUUUCUGAGAGAAUGUGAAUUGAUGUGCGUAAAGUGAGGAUGGGAUGUGUUUUUUUAUACUGAAGCGAGAGAUGAUGUGUUUGUUUUUGAUCCGUUGGAUCUUUUGGGUUAUUGACGGUUGAGAUUGUUUGCAUCUAUCUAUCCGCGUCAAUUGUUAUGUAACCAAUCAGAAUAACUUGUGUAUCCUUUGAUAUCCGCGUCAUUUAUUAAUUAACCAAUCAGAAUGACUUUUAGAUUGUUCCGACCUUUUUCGACAAAAAAAAAAACAGCAUAUAUUUUUCCAUGGUAAAGGCUGUCGCAUGAGACUUUUAGCUUGUAGGCUGCAGUGUUGUUGGGCCUCUCAGACGAGUUAAGUUUUGAUUUAUAAAACUAUUAAUGUUAUUUUAAAUAUUUUAAAAUAUCAGAUUGGUAUUAAAAAAAAUAUAAAACUGUGAUUAUAUUUUUAUAUUAUUGAAACUGCGAUUCAUGUUAUGUUAUUAUUGUGUUAUUUAUCCAAAUGCGAACCAUGUUCAUACACCCAUCUUAUUACUUGCCCAUUUCAAUAAACCAAUCAUGUAAGAUUGAGUCAUUGAAACGAUAGGAUAGAUGUUCAAAAAAAUAUAUAUAUAUAUAUGAUAAUAUGUUUCACACGAUCGACAUGAUCUAAAUAUUUGGAAUGUGCACUUGUGUAAUUUAUAUAUAUCUGAUACAAUCUUCAGUUUCUUGAGUUUGAGACAGACCAUUUCUUAACGUGCACACUUGCUUUUUGUGCCUACAAAUGACGAAACGAUUGCACUAAAAGACAUGCAUGAAAACUAACCAUAUAUGUGAACCAAAAGCAAUAGUAGAAAUUAGUGUACCUCUUUUUCCCAGUCACAUCUCAUAACAAUAAAAAUCAGUCUCAGUGUUUGAAUCCCGGUUCCUCCGAAUAUCAUACCAGCCCAAAUGCCCUAUCAACACAAUAACAAUAUAAGCAAGAUAUAGAGAGCUUUAAGAGCACCAUUAACCAAAGGUGCUUAAGGGGUGCUUAGAUUGUUUUUAAUUAAAAAGAAAAGGAAAGAGAAGAAUAAGAAGAAAGAGGAGUGCUUAACUAGGCAUCACAAGUAUAUGUUGCUUGCACUAUUCGCAGUCCCCACUGACACGUGGCAGCAUGCGAUUGGUUCUUUUUUUUUAAUCAGAGAAAAAACUAAAAAAAAAAAAAUUAGGGUUAAUGAUGCUAUUACAGUAGCUCAAUUACCGUAGUUUGUUGGAGGAGUUUUACGAAAAGAUAAAAUGAUAAAAAAACAUGAAUGAGAAAAUGUAAAAGUUCUUAAAUCACAGAUUUUUGGAACCUAUCAAGAAACUAAAGAGCGGGUGUCACCUUGUUAAUCUAUCAACAUAUUCUAAAAAGCAAAUAAAUAGUUAUAAUUUUAUAAUAUUAAUAUUUUUUUUCUUUUAGAACUCAUCACACAUUUUACCGAUAAUGAUGCUCUUAAGAGCAUCCACAACCAUUGGGACUUCAUUAAGUAUCUAAAAAAUAAAUUAUUAAUAUUUGAUUACAAUUACUUUAAGCAAUUAAUUUUUAUUUACCUUUUUAAAUUUGAGCUAAUAUAAAAGUGACACAUGAGUUUGUGGGAUUUUUUAAGGUCCUUGAAACACAUAAGUUUAGAACCUUUUCUGACACUUUUCCUAACUUUUUGCAUUUUUAAUUAUUUUUAACUUUGGAAACUUGUGUUAAAAACCCUCCAUUGGAGGUGUUCUUGCAAUAAUUUGCUAAUUUCAUAUAAAAAAGGAAGAUAAUAUGGGUUACCUUGACACCAUACUUGAAAAUCCAGCCCAUGACAAAUCCAAGUGGAAGUCCGAUGAAAUAAUAGCAUCCCAAAUUUAUAUAUGCCACGAAUGAUUGCCAACCCGAACCAACAGCAACACCUAAUUAAAAGUCACCACACAAGUGUUGAGCGGUUUAUUUUGUCAUAGCAAAAGAAAUUAGAUUGUUUUUGUGACGUACCAGAAAGAACCGGUUGGAUACUGUUGAGAAGAAUAGUAAAGGCUAGAAGAAUAGAAAGGUCAUUAACUGCUUUUAUGAUAGUGUCACUUGAAGAGAAGAUCCAGCCGAUUUGAUCAUGAAGAAAUACUACAAGCAUCGAAAAUACUAUUCCGAUGAUUAACGACUCUGUCACUGAUAUGAUCAUUGCAAAUCUUGCUCCUCUUCCAUUGCCUGCUCCUAACUCAUUCGCCACUCUCACGCUACAAAACCAAGUUAAGUAUAAACUUACAAAGGAGUACUACUUAUAAGCCAUGAACUAGUCUGACUAGAGACAUGAACAUAACUAGAGUAUCUAUACGGUGAUAGUAAAUAUAAGAGAUUGAUUACCCGGUCCCGGCAAAGAAAGCAAGUGGUAUCAUCAUCUCCAAACCAUUUAUUGACAUGCUGCCGAUGAAAAUUGAAGUUAUCAUAACUUGAUCAGAAAUUCACAUAUAAUAUAUACCAGUCUUCAAAACUAUAUAUUUGACGUACCAUAUAGACAAAGAGUCGACAGCAAUUUUUGUAUCCUUCAGAUUUCCAGUCAUCAUUAUUAGAAUCUUAUAAUACCAAUUCUCCAAGCUGUCUCUCGACAAAAAGACACAGUAAGAAGUUGUAUUCGAUAUGUAAAGCAAACUCGAUAAAGUGUGACACAAGUGGACUUUAAAGAAUCAAUACCAAAGCAUGAUUCCAGAAGAAGCAGAGAGCUUAGCGAAUUCCCAUAGUCUGGUGAAAGCUUCAAUGGAGAAACCAGUCCAAGUGAGUGGACAACCGCCACAAGUGGCGUACGUAAAUAAGAUGAGGACAUUGAGGCACCAUGACACGUUAAUAGUAGCCAUAGUCCCUAUGGGUCCAAGUUUAAGACCAUACACAAAAAGCCAGCACACAAAUAUGUGAACUACAAGUGCCACCCCAGAAGAAAGUGCAACCACCUGGUAUAGUAAGAGGAUAUUAACAAAACACAUUUAAAAUCGUUAAGUGUUAAGUUCCUGUUUAUAAUAAAUUUUUAACUUAAACUAAUUGGUGAUAAGUUGAUUGAUCAUUGCUCUUUAUAUAUUAGUUAAUUAUUUUUUCCAAAAAUAGGUGUGAGACUUCAUUCAUUCAAUAACAUCAAGGAGCUAAUCCGCCCCUUCCGUUACAACCUUUCAAAUCUUGAUGUAGUUACAUACCCUAUUCUUGAGCUGACACUGCAAGAAUCGGCUGAGAGGAAAAUAUAAGGCAAACACGAAAUGAGUAGGAAUGGUCCAAAAGGCCACGGUACCGGAGAGCUUGGCAACGUCUUCAGGCUGGCCGAAGAACUUAAGAAUCGGAGACGCAAACAAGUACACAGGAAGGAGUAAGAUGGCAAAUAAAAAGAGAACGAUCCAAGAUCGUUGCAUAUACACUCCCAACAUGUCAUACUUCUUCGCUCCAAACGCUUGUCCGCACAGCGUCUGCAACGCACUCGCCAUUCCAAGCUGCAUGUAGUUAAUAUAUUAAUCUCUUUCAUACAUUAUAAGGUAGAAAAAUUGUUUAUAUAUAUGCGUGUGUGUAUACAAAGAGGCCGAUGCUGAAGCCAAUGAUGACGUUUUGGACUAUAGCAAUGGCGGCGAGUUCUAGCUCCCCGAGGUGGCCAGCAAAGGCCUGAGUGAUGACGAAGAUCGAGUAUGUCGAGAUUCUGGCGAAUAUGGCCGGUCCAACGAUACGCCAUAGCUUCUUCGUCUCCAUCCAUGUCUCUCUCUUUAUGUCUCCGUUUUGCUCCUCCUCCCCAUAUUGAUCCCUCGACUUCUCUAUACCUUCUGUUUCAUCGUCUCUUUUUGCCAUCUUCUUGAAAGUAAAGAAUCGCGGACUAGAGUGAUGGAGAGUAUAUGGGGGUAAAGCAUAUAUAUAUAUUGAGUGGAGAGCGGAGACUCCACUGCGGUCAUUUUUUAUAAUCUAUUUUUCUGUCGCAAUUUAACCAGGAAUAGUAUAUAUGCAUGCUGCAUGUGUGGUUUCUAUCAAGACGAUGAAAGUAGCAAACUAGCAAUGGAUUAAAUUGAACAAAUUCAUAUGAAGCAUUUUUAUUAAUACAGUCUAUAUAUAGUUGAUACCACAUGCGGUGCGUCCAUUUGUUAUAUAUAUAUUUAUUACGCACUUUGUUUCACAAAAAUGUUAUUUGAUUUUUUUGACACAUAUUAAAAUCAUUUUAGAAUAAUUUUUACCCUUUAUCAUACACUAAUUAUCUUUUCUAAUUAAUUCAAUUUUUUUUGUGAAAACUUGAUUUUAUUUAGAAUUAUGUAUAUGAAUACAAACUACACUAUUUGUAAAAUAAAAAUAAAAUAUAAAAUGACACUUUUUGCGAAACAUAUAAAAGUAUAUCUCAAAAGAAUCUUAAAAAUAUUAAUUAAUGUUUUAGAUCAGUACAAUUUAAUUUAUUCACUCGUUUCAAUCUCUCUAAAUAUUAGGAAAAUGAGGGAGGUUUAUAAUAUAUAUACAUAUAUACACUUCGUUUUACUUUAAUAAAAUGUUGAAUUUUGGGUUAACUUUCGAUUUACAAUUUUCAAACAACUGUUGAUAAUGUUGCACUUACGGUAUAUAAAUUCACCAUUCCAAAUAAAUCUGAAAUAGUGCCUUACACGACUACUUGCGAUUCAUUAUAGUCCACAUUCGAUUUUUAUUCUGUUUGUUGCGUAUCGUCUUGAUUAGGUUCGGUUCUACACUAAUCCCACAUAUUCUAUGGUUUCUUCUUUUUGACAUAUAUUCUAUGGUCUUUUAACAUUCUCUAAUCAGCUAAUGUGAUUUGAAACCACAAAGUAGUGGAAAUACGAAUAUUUAGACAAUUUUAAUUAUCUUUUUCAUAAGCCAUAUAUAUGCAUCUUUGUGUUUGAUCAACAACUUCAUUUCCAACGUUUAUAUGUAACUAACGUCCACAUUGCUUAAUGUCAUGGAUUCAACAACUUAGUUUUCUACCUUUAUAUUAUUCCAUCAUGUAUAAAGUUCAUUAUUCUAUAUAAAGCUGUUUCGGUUCAUUCUUACGAAGUAAUGAAAAAUCUAAUCAUAAUUUCAUCCUCCUUUUAAAAUGUUAUUAUAAAUUUACAACUUUCUCCAAGUGGUUUUACAAAUCAUCAUAUUCUCCUUCAUGUCCGUUCAAACUUGUCUAUAAUAUGUUUAGAUUUAUCAAAAUUUAUCAUCAAAUCUCAGGCUGUGUGGCCGCCAGAGAGGCUCAUGUAUAGACAUUUGGAUAUUGAUAGAAGUUAUCUUAGAUGUACUGGUCUAGUGGAAUCGAUUAAUCAUCUUCUUUUUAAAUGUCCGUCAACUCUUCGGAUUUGGAUUUUAUCGGACUAUUCGUCUUUUCCGGAUUACUUCCCUAGUACAUCUAUAUAUCAAAAGAUGAACUUCCUGUUUUGGAAUAUAUGCUCCAAAUAUGUAUUUAUUUUACAACUGUAUACAAAUUAUACAAUCUUCAGUGUCUUGCCUCUGAAUUUGAGAUCUACCAUUUGUUAACGCGCACGCUUGCUUUUUGUGCCAAUUUUGAGAAAAACGACGAAACAAUUGCAUGAAAUAAACCAUAUACGUGAACGAAAGUAAUAAAAUUGCAUUACCUCUUUGUCCCAGUCACAUCUCGUAACAAUAAAAAUCAAUAUCAAUGUCUGAAUCGCAGUUCCUCCGAAUAUCAUACCAGCCCAAAUGCCCUAUAACAUAAAAUCACAAUAUAUUAUAUAUAGAGAUAAAUCAGCCUUCAAAUCUUGAGUUUAUUAAAAAAUCUGGCGUUUACCUUGACACCAAACUUGAAAAUCCAUCCCAUGACAAAUCCAAGUGGAAGACCCGAUGAAAUAAUAGCAUACCAAAUUUAUAUAUGCCACGAAUGAUUGCCAACCCGAACCAAUCGCAACACCUAAUCCAAAAUCAAAAGUCACUUCGGUUUAUUAUGGAAUGACAAACAAAUUAAUUUUGUUUUGUAGCAAACCAGAAAGAACCGGUUGGACACUGUUAAGAAGAAUAGUAAAGGCUAAAAGGAUAGAGAGAGAUCAGUGACUGCUUUUAUGACGGUUUCACUUGAAGAGAAGAUCCAACCGAUUUGAUCAUGAAGAAAUACUACAAGAACCGAAAAUAUUAAACCAGUAAUCAACGAUUCUAUCACUGAUAUGAUCAUUGCAAAUCUUGCUCUUCUUCCAUUGCCUGCUCCUAAUUCAUUAGCUCCGGAAGUGGCGUAAGUAAAUAAGAUGAAGGCAUUGAGACACCAAGACACGUUAACAGUAGCCAUGGUCCCUACGACUCCGAGUCUAAGACGAUAUACAAAAAGCCAGCACACAAAUAAGUGAACUACAAGUGCCACUCCAGAAGAAACGACAACCACCUGAUUGAUAGUAGCGUUAGUCAGAGAAAUAUCAAAUAGUUUACCAAACACUAGUAUAUAAUAUCAAAAUCAUAUUAAGUCAUUAUAUUUUGGAGCAAAUUAUUAUUACUAAAACAAGCAAUCAAAUAAUGAUGGGUAAUUCUCUCAAAUAAAUAUUUUUAAAAUUUUAUCGUAAAAAUAAUCCUCAAAAAAUAAAAUGACCAAAAUAGUUAAAAAGAAAAAAAUUUGAACUCAUCCACAAAACCCAACUCUUUAACUUUAAACACUAAGUCUUAGAUUAGUUAAUCCUAAAAGCAUCUCCAUUAGUGUAAGUGAAACGGAGGGGGCUAUAAUAAUUGAUUAUUAUUAUUUUAUCUUUUUUUGUUUGAUUUUUUUUUUAAAAUAAUAACCGAAGGAUCGCCACGUAUCGUGGGGUCCGUGAAACAGUGAUGAAACAGAAACGAAUGCUUGGAGAAGUAUAUAUACCAUGGCCGGGGACAAGUACCUAUGGCACUGUUUGGUUCUGGUGCUCAGAUAAAGCAUCUUGAAGUUGAUCAGAGAUUCUUGACGGCCGAUGUAUUUUAUUACGGCGACAGUUUCGUUGAUGACAGAGAGCUUCUGAGGUUCCUGGAGAGGAAGAUCGAUGUGUGUAUCUGCUCUAUUCAUAAGUUUGCUGGGAACAAGCAAGACUGUGAUGAGAAGGACAAGUGGGGUAGGAUAACCUUUCUCACUCCGGAAUCUGCUAUGAAGGCAACAGAGAUUCAGAGAUUUGAUUUCAACGGAUCGGUGCUUAAACUAUUUCCAUCGCUGGCAACUGGUGGGGGAGGAAUGUUCAAGAUGCCUUCAUUCCCUUCUGUUACAGCUAUGAUUCGUUGGCCGCAAAGGGAGAGCACUGGCAGAGGCGUUCUUAAGUGCCCAUCCGGUGAUGUUCACAGCGUAUUUAAUGGGACCUCUGACAUUGUGAUAGGAACAAGAUACGCCCGCUUUGAGACGGAUCAAAGGUUCAGUGACUCAAUCUUGAUUACUAAUAUUGACUCAGGUCUUGUGGAAGCAGACGUUUUAGAUGCUUUGGAGUUCUACACGGGGAGAACAGAUUUGGAAUUUUUCCUGUUGAGAAGAAAGAGCGUGCGGUGUCCACCUCCUACUGUCUGUGCAGAUAUGCUGCAUAAGAGGAUAUUUGCGUGCAUGUCAUCGAGCAGUCCAGAGCCGAACUGCGUCCAAGUCAAAGUUUUUGAACCAAAAGAAACAGAUUAUUUCAUGCGAGCGUUGAUUACUUUUGAUGGAAGAUUACACUUGGAAGCCGCGAAAGCUUUGGAGGAGUUAGAUGGAGAGGUGCUACCUGGAUGCCUUUCAUGGCAGAAGAUCAAAUGCGAGCAAAAGUUUCAGAGCUCCAUAAUCUGUCCUGCUUCUGUCUACAACAUAGUCAAAAGACAACUGAAUGCUAAGUUAACAAGCUUCGAGAGACAAAGAGGUAACUUCUACCACCUAAUAGUAAUAACCUUACAGUGUUAUCUGACUACUUCUGAGCAUAGGUUUGAUAUUUCUCUUAUAUAUAUUUGUAGGAGGUACUUGGCAUCUGGAGCCAACACAUGGUGGUGCUUACCGUGUUAGAAUAUCUGCUUAUGCAACAAAACCCAUCUCAGAGAUGCGGAGAUCUCUUGAAGAACUCGUAAGAGGAAGACCCAUAAACCAUCCAGGCCUAACCCCAAGGGUCUUGCAGCAUCUCUCUUCCAGAGACGGUGUUAUUCUGAUGCGGAGGAUCCAACACGAGACUGAAACGUACAUUUUACUAGACAGGCACAGUCUCACAGUGCGCAUUUGUGGAUCAGAAGAGAAAAUCGCUGCGGCUGAGCAAGAACUGGUUCGUUCGCUUCUGGCCGAUCACGAGAGGCAGCAGCUUGAAAUCCGCCUCCGAGGUCCUCAGUUACGUCCUGACCUAAUGAAGGAAGUUGUGAACCGGUUUGGUCCGGAUCUCCAAGGUAUCAAAGAGAAGGUAGAUGGCGUGGACCUCAAGCUCAACACGCGGUACCAUGUUAUUCAGGUUCAUGGGAGCGUGGAGAUGAGGCAGGAAGUAGAAAAGAUCGUCUACGAACUUGCACGUGAAGGUAGUGAACCGGGAGGAAAACCAGAUGACAUUGAAGUUGAAUGCCCCAUCUGCCUGUGUGAGGUUGAUGAUGGCUACUCUCUCGAAGGAUGCUCGCACCUCUUCUGCAAAGCUUGUUUGUUGGAACAGCUCGAGGCAUCGAUGAGAAACUUCGACGCGUUUCCCAUUCUUUGCUCUCACGCGGACUGUGGAGCUCCGAUAGUACUCGCUGAUAUGAGAGCGCUCUUAUCACAAGAGAAGCUAGAUGAGCUCUUCAAAGCCUCCCUAUCCUCUUUUGUGACAACCAGCGAUGGUAACUUCCGGUUUUGCUCCACUCCUGACUGCCCUUCCGUUUACCGCGUAGCUGUUGGUCCUCGAGAGUCAGGGGAGCCGUUCAUCUGCGGAGCUUGUAACGCAGAGACGUGCAGAAGGUGCCACCUGGAGUAUCACCCGUAUAUCACUUGCGAGAGGUACAAACUGUUUAAAGAAGAUCCUGACAUGUCGUUGAAAGACUGGGCGAAGGGGAAGAACGUGAAGGAGUGUCCGUUUUGCAAGUCGACGAUAGAGAAAUCUGAAGGGUGUAACCAUCUGCUGUGCCGGUGUGGGAAGCAUAUCUGCUGGGUUUGCUUAGACUUCUUCACUCAUCAAGAGCCUUGUUAUGAGCAUUUGAGAGCAGUCCAUGGUGGAAUAGGCAUCUUCGAUGAGCUCGGCAUCCCCUUGCUUUGAAGUUUGAAAAACCGGACCUCUUCAUUGUACAAUUAAUUAGUCUUUAAGCUUAAGUCCUUGUAAUCUAUAUAUUAUGUAAAUUCUGGUUUGGUUCAUGUGUACAUAUGUCGAGAUACUCUGGUUCAGUAGUAUUCCUUCUUUAAACAAUUACUAGAUCAUAACCUGAUGCCAUAAUAUGAAAUGUUUUUGUUACUAGUCUUAGAUCUGAUUUGUUACAUCACCCAUUUCAAGUUAAAGCUGUGGGAAUGUGAAGAUAUUGCUUAUUGGAAGUUGAAGAGAUUUAUACAGAAGUUUCAGUGCUAACUUAUUCACAUCAUCAAGAAGAAGAAGGAACCAAGACCCGGUUAUUCCAAACCGACUGCCAUCUUUACUGGUUAGACCGGUUAAUUGGUGAUUACAACUAAGCUUACGUAACGACUGUGUUGUGUUAUAUAUAUCAUAACGUUUCAAUGUUUGUAACAUUGCGAUUUUGAUAAACAAGGAGAAACGAGUGACUGAUUUAAACACAUAAUAGCAAAUAAAUAUCAAAGACAAUUAGGCAAUAAUAUUAAACAAGAGAACAUAUUCAUUGAGGUAUUUCGUCGAACACCUUAAAGACUAUCUUAACAAAGACUAAACCUUUAGAAAAUUCACCAUAGAUCAAAAGUACACAUUAACGAACUAGACAAAGCUAGAUAAGUCUUCAAGCUCUUUCACCACGGAUUCUCCUAGCGAGCUGGAUAUCCUUGGGCAUGAUCGUCAC